rnacentral:lncRNA from 1 species
UUCUAUCAAAUGAAUUCAUUUUGUAUUCAAAUUCUGAGUAAUUAAUAAUAAGAAGGAUACCAUGAAUUUUAUUUACCUAAAUCUUGUAAUUAAUAAUAAGAAAAAUAUCAUGAAUUUCAUUUUGGGAAGCUGCUUUUAGCUUUAGUAGCUUCAUUUGAGAACGCAAAUAUGGCAUACCAAUUCUAUAUUUCUAAUCAGAAGAUGUUAAAUUUUUUUUUAGUCGUCUUCAAUUUGUGGCACUUCAUUCUCAAUAAAGAACAUUUCACAAAAUUCCAUAUCUAAUACAACAUCAAAGGACCGACUGAACAGGAAAACGACAUCAUUCAUUAUCCAGAUUGAAACAAAAAUCCCACUAAAAUGACUACUCAUAAGAAUCUCAUUCCACAAAACUUCUUCAGUCCAAGCCUAAACAACUGCAACCAAACAAAUCCCCAAGAUAUUUCAUCCACUGCCAUUAACAAAACCACAACCUAUAUCUUCCUUCAGCUAAGAUUAAAGCAAAAAUUGAAACCCUAAUCAUUCCCAAACAUGCUUUUGGAAUCAGAAUAGAAAGGAAACUUGAAAUUAGAGGAUCAUACAGAAUUCGACUGGGGAUUGGACUCGUGCUCGAAAUCGACCUCUUCCUUUUCCUUUUCAGAUUGAUCACCUAAUAGGUUCUGCAUCACCUGGUGCCACUUCUCCUCCCCCAUCGCUACUGCAGUGUGUUGCGGUCGGAGCCCUCAAACUACUGACAUUAAAUCGUUCAUUUGAUUAGAUCAAAGAAAAUAUCACCAUAGCAUCCUGCAAAUUUCAAGAAGUAUGUGUCGAAACAAAUCUGAAAAGAAUGAAAACCCUGUUAACCAAACACAUCAACAAUAACAUAAGCCUCACCACCAAUCCGACAUGGCAAAAUCCAGUCAACAAAACAAAAAAUACUCUGUAAUCCAUCAGCCAAUAUACAGCAAGUAGAAGCAACGCAAUUUUCUUUUUAAAAAAAAAAAAAAAAAACCAAAUCCGUAAUGAUCCGAACAGUUAAAAUUAGGGUUUGAUAACUAAUGCACCUAUUGCUAUUAGACUUUGAUCCCCGGGAAUUACUGGAUACUGUUGCUGAUGCCAUUGUGUUCAAGCCAAUGGAUUUCAACCCUUUUCGGCAAAACAUCACAAACUCCAUCAGAAAAAAUAUUCUCAAAGAUAAUGGGUGAGGGAAUUUCAUUUGAAUUGCCAGAGGAUGCUGUUGAAAAGAUCCUGACUGGAAUAUGGCUAGGCCGGACUGGCUUAGAGGAAUGGGCAGAAAAGGUUCUAGCUCCGAGCAUCCAGCAGCUUAAAUACCCAAAUUAAUAACCAAAUAAUCCAAAAUCAUACAAAAACCAAUGCUUUCAUAGAAAAAUCUCUAAAACCCACAAACCCCAAAAAAAAAACAAAACAAAAUCAUACAAAAAUCUCACCUUGCUCAAAAAUACUAAUUAAGAUUAAGGGAGCAAGAACACAUACAAACUUGGAAAUGUCAUACAAUCCAAACCCGAUUCCAAUAUUAGCCACAACGAAAUGAGGCUGUAUGGCCCAGCCAGAACCUUCUCGAUAACCUCCUUCACCGCAACAUGUCAAGUCCAACACAAAAAUUGAGUAACUGUGCGAGAAAAUUUGAGCUUGUGAUGGACUCUAAACCAAACCUUAGGCGAGGGGUGGAGAGAGAGGGCAGAGGCGAGCUUCGGGCGAGCAAGGAUUCGGCUGCAGAUUUGGUUCCAGGAUUUGCUAACGCACGCCGCUGAUACAAAGGAUAAGGCGGGUAGGUGCGAGAGGAUGUCGUCGAGAAGGUCGUCGUUUAGCAGAUGAUGCGAGGAGGGAGAGGGGAAGAAGCUGUGAAGAAGCAGAAGGCGAUGCGUAGUCGAAGCGGAGCAUCCCACGAUGAUUGACGCGUGGGCAGGCAGAAAGCAGACUUAAAUCAACCAACCUGAUUCUUAUACGACAUGACGUUUGUGUUUUCAAAAGUGAUUUCCGUCAUUCUUAUAAGCAUUUAAUUGAACUGACCAAAAGAGAAUCAAAGAACAAAAAGAAGCUUAGAAUGAGAAAACGGAAGUAAAAAUCAAACCACUUGGUUCCAAAAAUCAUAAAUAGGAGCACUGCUUUAUAACAUAAUAAAAGAGAUGAGGCAGUCUUACUGUACAGAUUCUGGUUAGUGGUUCAAUAAACAAAUACAACAGAAACUACCAUGAAAAAUACCCUAAUUGGAGCUAUAAACCACUACAUUGCAAGGAACAACAUAAAACUAUCAGCAUACGAGGUUACGGUUAGUCGCCACAUCGAAAACUCUUACAGGGACUCCUCUUCGUUUGCCAAUCACAAAGAAAGGUUCCGCUUCGUUGCUUCCAUUUUUAACAAAAGAUCCCUUAUAUCGGCUUCCAUUCUCAGCUUCAUAUUGGAGUAUUCACGAUGCGCUCGGUCUAGAGCUUGCAGUUCUUCAAGUUUCUUGCUGUUCUGCCUCGACUAAGCGCAACUUUGCUAUCCUGUUCCUAAAUUCUUCUUCAAUUUUUUCAUUCUUUGCCAUUGCUAUGCGUUUCAGCCCCUCAGCUUCUCUUCUUGCGUCAUCUGCUCGUGUUUGGAAUAUUUUUGCCUCGGCCUGCUUGAUCCUCACAAUGCUCUCCAGCUCAUCAAAAAGAGGUUCUUUUUGGGCACUUGUGUGCAACUCUGCGUCCAUAAUGCGUUUCUCAUGCUGAUCGUAGUUAAAACUGGGAUGAGUGUUAGCUGCAGUCUCCAACUGAGGGACCUUCUCAGCGUAUAUUGAUUUCAGCCACGCGGGUUCCUGGCUUGGCUCAACAAUUCCAUUGCUCGCUUUAAUUUGAUCCUUCUCCGAUAAGAUGGGUGUUUUGCCUAGCUUGGAACUGUCAGCAUCUGAAACAAAAGUGGAAGACUUAUUUAAAAACAGUACAGUUUCCAGUUAACUAAGCACAGUAUUACAACAGAGAACAAAAAGGCACAACUUUGAGACUCAAUAAGGGCUUGAGUUUUCUGCUUCGGGAUUUUGUACUCCUGCUAUGUCAUAAAUAUUCUCACAUCAGCACAAAAAAGCGGUUCAGAGACAUGGAUACGGAUGUAUUUAGGCCAGGCAUCAAACUGAAUCCCGAAAGCCAUAAUCCUAAGAACACGAAGCUUCAAGCAAGCCAAGCAAAUAAUGUAAGUUCUAUAGAGAGCAAACACUUGUUUAUCGUGUAAAAGUGUUUUGGAAUAAUAAGGAGACUAACAUUAGCUACGUGGAAUGGCUUUACAGAAAUUGUAUAAUAAGGAUAAUAGCCUCAAGCAAUCUCGAUAGAGCUAGGACUCUAUUAUCUGAUAUGUUUAUUAGGGUUUUCACGGUGAUAAAGAUAGUUUGAUAAGGAUUACAUAAUGGGAAGUGUCCUGAUGAACUCCAUCGUUUAUGGUAUAAAACUAGGGUCCCUGCGCUCUCACAAACACACAAGUUUUCAGAUACUCAAGCCCCAUUGAUUGAGCCUUGUAUUCGGUAGUGCAGAGUUGCAGAAGAAUCCUUUUAAUUCAAGCAGCAAUGUCUUCAUCAGGUAAGUGAUGAAGUUGGUAUCGUGAUUUAGUUUCUAUAAGUUAUACACUUACAGUUGGUAUCAGAGCCUUCACAUAUCAUCUUAAUCCUAUGUUGGAGGCAUCGAGAAUUUUUGUUUUCUUAUUGCUGUGCAGGUUACAGAACUGGUAACAUAUUAUCUGGGAAAAACAACACGAGUAUGUGAUGGCUAAGGCCAUUCUUAUUCGUGUGGGUUUUUCAUCUUAAUAUGUAUACCAAAAAUGGCACUUGAACACAAAUCGUGGACGCUGAUCUUCUAAAGAAGUUCAGAUGUUCAUAUUUAGUUUUUUGAGUGGCAUAUCAUUUUGGUAGCCAAUACAUGAAUACAACUAUCAUUGUCAGAUCAUAAAGAUCUAUAAUCAUAGUUAAAGAAAUUCAUGUAUCAGCUACAAAAGUGAUAUGAACAAAGAAAAUAAUCACAGCUUUCAUCAAUCUAAAGAAUGUUGAUUUUUGUGAUAUAUGGUUUGGGGAUAAGGAUUAAUAUUCGAAAGUUUUAUGCUUUGACAGCGUUGAACCCUAGCUCCAUGAACCUCAACACUGUUGAACCACUUACUUGUAUCAACUAUAAGAAAUGGAAACAGGAUCUAGAGAUCGUGCUGGGAGUCAUGGAUUGGGAUUUAGCACUCAGAACUGAAGAACCUCCUAUGCCGACAGAUGGGAGCACAUCCAGCCAACGGUCCAAGUAUGAAAAAUGGCAAAAAUCAAACAGGAUUUCCCCGAUGAUUAUCAAGAGGAGUAUGACCAAAGGCGGAGCCACAGUGGGGUCAAUGGGGUCGCACGACCCCUUGGAAGCCAUGGAAAUAACCUUAGAGGUCCCUUGGAGCUGCUGGUGCGACCCCUUGGAGCUGCUGGUGCGACCUCUUGGAGCUGCACACCACGUGUUCGAUGAAAUGUCUGAAAGAAGAAAAAGACUUCGGUUGCAGGUUGAAGAAGAAGGAACGGAGAACAGCAGCCAUGGCUGCCGAUGCACUGCUCCUUCUAUUGCAGAAUGAGAAAGAAGACGACCUGUUUUAAAAUGACUUGGCCAAACACACCGUUUUGAGCCAAGCCAAUAAAAAAAGUUUUAAAAGCACUCCCGACUGCUUUUCUCAUAUGAUUGGACAUCCUUUAGACUCCAUGUGAUUGGUUUUUGAUCAAUUCCCAAGCAAUUUAGAGAUUUUACUAAAAAUGAGAGAGUAAAUUAUUAAGUGGGUCCCAAUCUCAUUCAAGUAAACAUUUCGUUUUACCUUUGGCAUUUUGCCUUUUGCAAUGCACCUUUGCCAUUUGGUUGCUGAAGAAGAGACAAUUCUGGUCGGAUUUUCUUUGUGAGGAUUCUGAAGAUUUUUUUUAAUCACAUUCGUUUAUUAUAAUUCGUGCAGAUAGAAAUUAUUGUAUUUUUUUAUUUAAAAUUGAAUAUAAAUAACGAUAUGAAUAUAAUUAUUGUAAUUUUUUUUAAUCACAUUCGUUUAAAAUUGAAUAUAAUUCGCACUAUCCUACCAAGACCCGAUGAAAUGACGAUAUGCAUGCCAUUUCUGUUAAAAAAAAAUUUCGCGCUGCGCGCACUAUCCUUAUUGACCCCCCAAACAUUAUUUCCUGGAUCCACCACUGAGUAUGACUGAUGUGGUUCGAGGUGGUUUCAUGCUACUAAUGCCAAGGAAUUUCUUGCAUCCAUCGAAGAAAAGUACAAGGAGUCUCCAAAAUCCAAGACAGGUAAUCUCAUGAACUCACUUACCACCAUGAGAUAUGAUGGUAUUGAAAGCGUGCGUGAAUAUAUCUUGAAGAUGAUGGAUGUUGCUGGAAAGCUUAAGGCUCUCGAGGUACCUAUAUCUGAAACAUUCCUUGUGCAUGUGAUAAUGAACUCACUACCUGAUAGCCACACUCAACUGAAAGCAUCUUAUAAUGCUUUGCGUGAAAAAAUGGGAUGUGAAUGAGUUAAUUGCUAUAUGUGUAAGUGAAGAAGAAAGGAUGAAAAAGGAGAAGUAUGAAAAGGAAAAGGUUGAGUCUGUUAACCUUGUGCAUGGUGCCUAUAAAGCACACAAAUCUCCGGCUGUUGAUGUUACCAGGAAAGAAACUACCAAAAGGGCUCCAUCUCCUACCAAAAGGAACUUUAAACCUAACAAACCAUCGAUUUUCAAAUGCUAUUUUUGCAAGAAAACAGGUCAUAUGAAGAGAAAUUGUCCAAAAUACAAGGCUUGGCUUGCUAAACAAGAGUCAAAGAAAGGUAAAAAUAUUUUUGCUUGUUUUGAGUCAAAUUUGAUUGAUAUACUUAGCACUGCAUGGUGGCUUGACUCAGGCUCUUCUAUUCAUGUUACGAAUUCAUUGCAGGACUUCAUAACAAAGAGAACACCAAAUAAAGAUGAAGUCAAAGUCUCUGUUGGCAAUGGAAGAAGAGUUGAAGUCAAAGCUUUAGGAAGUGUUAGGCUAAAGUUAGAAUUUGGUUUUUGUUUAGAAUUGGAAAAUGUCGUUUAUAUACCUUCUAUGAGAAGGAAGUUGAUUUCGGUUUCAAAACUAGUUAUGUUGGGUUUUUAUUUUACUAUCAAUAAUAUUGGCUUCAACAUUUUUUAUAAGUCAUCUCAAAUUGGUUCUGGUUUUUUGAGUGAUGGGAUGUUCCAAAUAAAGUUAAACCUUGAUGAACACGUUUUUAACAUCCAAAAUGGGAACACCAAAACUCAAUCUUCAAACCUAUGGCAUAAGAGACUUUGCCAUAUUUUGAAACAAAGAAUGGAGUUGCUUGUUAAAAAUGACAUUUUACCAUCUUUGAAUUUUAAUGAUUUUGAUUUUUGUGUGGAUUGCAUCAAAGGUAAAAUGACAAAUAGUAGGAAAGAAGGAUCAACUAGAAGUAAACAAGUCCUAGAAAUUAUUCACACGGACAUUUGUGGUCCUUUUCCAACACCUACAAUAGAAGGAAACAAAUACUUUAUAACCUUCAUUGAUGAUUUUUCAAGGUUUUGUUUCAUUUAUUUGAUCAAUGAGAAAUCUAAAGCUUUUGAAGUUUUCAAAAUUUAUAAGAAUGAAGUUGAAAAUCAGUUGGAAAGAAAAAUAAAGAUUGUUAGGUCUGAUAGGGGUGGAGAAUAUUAUGGUAGAUAUACUCAAACUGGUAGACAUCCUGGACCUUUUGCACUAUUCUUCCAAGAACAUGGGAUUGUAGCUCAAUACACUACACCUGGAACCCCCGAGCAAAAUGGGGUUGCAGAAAGAAGAAACAGGACCUUAAUGGACAUGGUAAGAAGCAUGAUAUGUAGAGCUAAUUUGCCGAGUUCUUUGUGGGGAGAAGCAAUGAAGACUGCAAAUUAUAUUUUGAAUAGGGUGCCAUCAAAAUCUGUUGAGGGUACUCCUUUUGAGCUGUGGACAGGGAGAAAACACAGCUUGAAUCAUCUUCAUGUUUGGGGUUGUAGAGCAGAAGCAAAAGUGUAUAGUCCUAACAACAAAAAGCUCGAUCCCAAGACCAUCAGUUGUUUUUUCGUAGGGUAUGCAGAAAGGUCGAAGGGCUUUAGAUUUUAUUGUCCUAAUUACACUUCCAAAAUAGUUGAAACUGGCAAGGCAAUCUUCUUAGAGCAUGAAAUCGAUACUGGUUCUGGGACUGAGGUUGACACUUUUGAAUUUGAAGAAGAAGAAAAAGAAAUCAUAGUCCAACCAAUGGAAACUGAGAUAAGUGUGGCAGCUCCACUUCUUAAAAUUGUUGGGCACAUGGAGGACAGUGAAACUAAUGCAUGUGAUGAAGAUCACGAAGUUGAUGCAACAGUUUAAGAAGUGAUAAAUGAUGAUCGAGGUACCAUAACAAUUGAGGCAUCAGUACCCACCAUGGGUCAGCAACAUCAAAUACAAGAGGGCAGCAUCGACACCAUCACUAAUUUCAGAAGAUCAACUAGGGUCAGGAAACCUACGACACUAGAAGAUUUUGUAUACUUGGCUGAGAGUGACACUGAUUUAUCAGAAUUUAAUGACCCUAUAAGUUUUAAAGAAGCAAUCUCAAGACCAAAUGCUGACAAGUGGAUAGAAGCUAUGAAUAGUGAGCUGACCUCAAUGGAAAACAAUCGUGUAUGGGAAUUAGUUGAACAGACAGAAGGAAUGAAACUCAUAGGAAGCAAGUGGGUUUUCAAAACUAAAAAGGAUUCGAAUGGAAAUAUUGAAAGGCACAAAGCUAGAUUGGUCGCGAAAGGAUUUACACAAAGAGAGGGUGUUGAUUACAAAGAGACCUUUAGUCCAGUUUCAACCAAAGAUGCUUUUAGGGUUAUAAUGGCUAUGGUAGCACACUUUGAUCUUACUUUGCAUCAAAUGGACGUCAAAACGGCCUUCUUAAAUGGAGAUUUGGAGGAGUGUAUCUACAUGAGACAACCAGAUGGGUUCAAAGAAGAAGGGAAAGAUAACUUGGUCUGCAAGUUAAAGAAAUCUAUUUACGGACUCAAGCAGGCAUUGAGGCAAUGGUACCUCAAGUUUCAUCAAGUGGUAAGAGAAUAUGGUUUCACUGAAAAUCUCUCUGACAACUGCAUUUACAUGAAGGUUAGUGGGAGCAGUUUUAUUAUUUUAAUUCUUUAUGUUGAUGAUAUACUGCUAGCCACUAAUAGUCAGAGUUUAUUAAGUGAAACAAAGUCUUUCUUGCAAAGAAAUUUUGAAAUGAAAGACUUGGGAGAGGCAACGUAUGUCUUAGGGAUUGAGAUCAAAAGGGACAGAAUGAGAGGUUUGUUGGGACUAUCGCAAAGAGGGUACAUAGAGAAGGUUUUAAAAAGAUUCAACAUGUCCAGUUGUGGAACUACUGAAGUGCCGAUUUCAAAGGGAGAAAAGUUGAGUAAGUUGCAGUGCCCUAAAAAUGAUUUGGAAAAAAAGAUCAUGGAAGAUAAGCCAUAUGCUUCCUUGGUAGGAAGCCUAAUGUACGCUCAGGUCUGCACAAGACCUGAUCUUGCAUUCACAAUAAGUGUACUUGGAAGGUUCCAAUCGAAUGCUGGUGAAGCUCACUGGAAUGCAGCAAAGAGAGUGUUGCGAUAUCUUCAAAGAACUAAAGCACAUAUGUUGGUUUUCAGAAGGACGGAUGAGUUGGUGUUAGAAGGGUAUAGUGACUCCGAUUUUGCUGGAUGUUUGGAUGAUCUUAAAUUUACAUCAGGUUAUGUUUUCUUGAUGGCAUGUGGAGCUGUUUCUUGGAAAAGUGUAAAGCAAGACACAGUGGCUGCAUCUACAAUGGUAGCUGAAUAUUUAUCUUGUUGUGAGACUGUUAACCAAGCUGUUUGGUUAAAGAAUUUCAUAAUGGGACUUAAAGUUAUUGAUUCAAUUGCAAGGCCGAUCCAAAUCUACUGUGACAAUAAUGCUGCAAUAUUCUUCUCCAAGAACAAUAAGAGAUCAGCUGCAACCAGGAACUUGGACAUUAAAUACCUUAUUGCAAGAGAGAAAGUUGUGGCUAGGUUAGUUAAAAUUGAUUAUUUGGAGACAGGUUCAAUGAUUGCAGAUCCUAUGAACAAAGCAGUGACCAAUGCGGUGUUCAAGAAGCAUGUGAUGAGUAUGGGAGUGCUGGAUGAUUUUGAUACAGUGAAUUAGUGGGAGCCAAGUAUUAAUUUCUUUCUCUGCGAGUUAUCUAGUUCUGAAUGUUUUGAAUAUUGAUAAUAAAGAACACUUAGCUAAUAAAGUGAAAUGCUGAAUGGUUGUUAAAGUUUUCCUAUCAAGCUCAGCAAUUAGUUAUGAAAGUGCAUGUAUUUCUUUAUAAUGUAGGAUGGAUAAUGAUUCUCAGAAUUGUUAUAAGGCAUAAACAACUUGAAGACUUCACUAUGAAGUAUUUGGAAUUGAUUGUUUUAUCAAUCUUGUGGAGGACCAAGUGUAAGAUGUGUUACUCGAAUAUACAUGCGAACAUGUGUUACAUUAAAUUACAUAUCUUGUUGGAGUUCCAUGUGUUAUAUAGCUUCAUUACAGUGACUAUGGGGACAGUACUUCUUCAGUGAGAGUGUGAUGCCCUUUGGUUCUUUAUGAAUGCUUAUUAAUGACAGGAACUUGUAAUCGAGUUUAGCUGAUAUUAGUCUCUUGGCCAAUCAAGUAUUAUUCCACUUCUGUAAGUGUACAUGAUAAACAAAUAUUAGCUCUAGUGGGAGAAUGUAAGUUCUAUAGAGAGCAAACACUUGUUUAUCGUGUAAAAGUGUUUUGGAAUAAUAAGGAGACUAACAUUAGCUACGUGGAAUGGCUUUACAGAAAUUGUAUAAUAAGGAUAAUAGCCUCAAGCAAUCUCGAUAGAGCUAGGACUCUAUUAUCUGAUAUGUUUAUUAGGGUUUUCACGGUGAUAAAGAUAGUUUGAUAAGGAUUACAUAAUGGGAAGUGUCCUGAUUGAACUCCAUCGUUUAUGGUAUAAAACUAGGGUCCCUGCGCUCUCACAAACACACAAGUUUUCAGAUACUCAAGCCCCAUUGAUUGAGCCUUGUAUUCGGUAGUGCAGAGUUGCAGAAGAAUCCUUUUAAUUCAAGCAGCAAUGUCUUCAUCAGGUAAGUGAUGAAGUUGGUAUCGUGAUUUAGUUUCUAUAAGUUAUACACUUACAAAUAAUGUAUGUACUAUAGAAACCAUCAGUUGUAAUGGUUGAAGCAGAAAGAAGAAUACUUCCUCUGAAAGAUUAGUAUUUCCAUCUUCAAUAUCAAAACAAAAGGCUUCAAGUAGCUUCAAUAUAUCAAAGGGCUUCCAUACAUGUCAAAACAAAGAACACGACUGAUAAAACUUUUAUUUGCAGCAAUUCACAAGUAUCAAAAUCUCUAAGUAACAUCAAUAUCUUGUAAACCAUGGAGAAAGGAAGCAUCUGUAAAUUUCACAAGAGAUGUAGUAUAUAUACCAAAGCCAUUUUCCCGAUAAAAAAUCCAACAAAAGCAAGUGUAAGUCAUAUAAGAAAAGCUACGAAGUGUCAAAUGACUCUUCUUUUAUAACUCAAUAUCAUUAAACACUCUCUUUACUGCAAACAAAUAUAUGGCAAAUUGAAAAUAUAAUUUUAGAUCAUUUUUUUUUUUAAGAAAAAGGCAUGAUCCUAAACAAUGAUAUUAUGCCGAUGCAAGCAGAUUAUGACCCCGAAUAGUAUUGUAAGAACGAAACAAUAAACUAUUUCUGAUAAAACAAAUAACUUACCCAAAAGAAAAGCCAUGACAUAAUUGUACACCUCCGGAAGGUCAGACUUGUUUACCAAUCUUGCCAGUGAUUGAUCAGCAAUUUCAUAAAGUCGUCUCCCUCUCAUGUCCUUGCUGACAACAAAUAUUUUCUUAACGUAUUCAAGUUCCCUAGCAAGAUUUUCAAUUGUCCAAUCCUUUGCGAAAUUCUGAAAUGUUGUACUUUUAUGCGCAAACGGAAGCGAAUUAUAACAAAGUACCAAAUAUCGUCGCAGGAGAAAGCUAAAACAAACAAUCUCAAACUAACACGAGAUUUACGUGGUUCGGCGUAAAGCCUACUCCACAGGCGAAGCACGGCAAGGAAUUUCACUAAAUAAACGGAGAUUACAAAAGAGUGUUUAAACUCUCACAACCCAAAUCCCACAAAUUACAAACCCUAAACCAAACGAGUAGAGAACUCAAACAAACAGAGAAGAUUCUCCCAAAUUGCUCUCUAACAAACUCACAAAUUGACUCUCACCAAAUUGCCACACGAAUGAGCCACACAAUAUACAUUAACCCUAAGGUCCUAUUUAUAGUGCAUAGGACUUAGGUUACAAUAGGAAUCCUAAUAGGAAAUAAAUCCAAAUCCUAAUCAAAUAGGUAAUUAACAAAAUCUCUCCACCAAGGAAAGUAACUAAGAAGUCAAAACCAAACCCAAAUAUGACACCAAAAUCAAAUAGGUAACACAAACCUAAUUUAUUGCAUCAUCCUAAUUUUGAGCCAAAAACCCAACAAUCUCCACCUCGGCGAGAAAUUAGCAAACUUCCAAAUUUGGGAUACCAGAAUACAAAUGCAAACGUGCACCAAAUUCUUUCGAAACUGAUCUCCACCUAGACUCAAAAAAUCCAAAAGUCUUCAUACUUGAAAUUUCCUCCAACGCCUUCUCCAACAAAUUCCAUUAUGGAAACUAACAAAUACGAAACAAAAUACAAGCAAAAGCUUGAACAUAUGAACAAAAAGUGCGAAUUGCACUCCACCUAAAGAGCUUGAGUACCAAGCUCCACCUCUUCACAUAACCUUUAGAGGAGUUCAGAACAACGAUCUUCUGCAAUGUUUGCAUCAACACUAGCAAAAGACUUAUCAAACAACUUUUUUUUCGCCCUUGAGUUUAGGGCAAUCUACUUUCCAAUGACCAUCCUUAUAACAAUAGCUACAAGUGUUCUUUCCAAGUUUGCUCAUUUCCUUAUUCCUUCCUUGAACUACCAAAGCUCCAUCUUGUGUGUCAGACACUUUAUUCUUCAGCUCUUUAGAAUUCAAAGUGACUUUAACAUCUUCCAAACUAAGACUUUCUCUACCAAAUAGCAUGGUAUCGACAAAGUGUUCAUACGAAGGAGAUAAAGAACACAACAAAGUUAUCGCAUAAUCCUCAUCACUAAUUUGGUUGUCCACACUUUUCAAAUCCAUCAUAAGUUUAUUGAAUUCAUCAACAUGCUUAUGAAUUGACGUACCUUCAUCCAUACGAAGAGUAUGCAAACUUUUCUUCAAAUACAACCGUUUAGCAAGGGAUUUGGUCAUAUACAAGCUCUCCAAUUUUAUCCACAACUCUGGUGCAGAUUUGAUGCUACCAACUUCACGCAAGACUUCAUUUGAUAAAGUCAGCAGGAUUGCUCUAAGUGCCCGUUCCAUAACGUCUUCUUUUUCUUCAUCAGUCCACGAAUCCGGCAAAGUCUUCACACCCUUUAGCGUUUUCAAAAGCCCUUGUUGAACUAACAAAGCACGCAUCUUCAAUUGCCAAAUACCAAAGUCAUUGCCGUCGAACUUUUCAAUAUCAACUUUCACCGAUGACACAGAAGGCUUCAUAGUGACUGUGAAAACGGAGCUAAUGGAGAUUGCUCACCAUGAACAACAAAAUGGACAUUUACUUUCUUCCAAGGAUUUACAGGACAAUGGCAUCCGUAACUCAUUCGGAUUCAUUCAGUCCACUAAUUCCCAACUGAUUCUAGCAGUUUUUAGUGCUUCGCAAUUUUUUGGAUAUAUACAACACACAACAAUUUCUAUUUAUAUAUCGCUUUUUGACAUACUGCUUGGGGAAAUCUGUCAGCACAUACAUAUUUUGAAUGCGUUAGGUUUUAAUUUGGACAGUAAGGACUAGGGAAUCCAUUUGGAUAAUUUUGACACAAUUGACAAGCUGCAAUAGACUGCACUAUAGACUUCUAGAUUUACUGAUAGAGGUUCCAUGAUUUGUUCUAGAAUUUGGAACAAUAUUCUAAUUCUGAUGGCCAAUGGUAAUUUCUCCACUUUCAUGAGUGGCUUAACUAAAGCAAUUUCCACUUUUACUUUAUCUAGACAUAUGAUUGAUACUAUGACAUCGGUUUGUCUAGUUGUCUACGAUUGCAACACUUGUGCGAUAUAGUUUAUACUCGGCAGCACAAUUAUUGUAUCUCCUCGUAUAUUCUCUGGAGUACCUGUUUACAAACACAAUUGGCAGCCAAAUGCUUCAUGGACGAAAAAUGCAGCACGCCUCUCCGUGGUCUGAUGGCUUUUUUGUUAUUAUAUGGGAGGUCUUCUUGAUAGCUGCGUGCUGGGUUUUGACAAUGGCAGAAGAAGACAUGAUCAUAUGGGCAUUAAUGAGGCAUAAGAAUCUGGGUUCAAGUCUAGUUGUUUGUUGUCAUCUUCAAUCGAUCAAGACUUCAGUUAGAACAUCUUUGAAGGGAAAUUCCUAUCUAAUUGAGAUUGUCUAAGGUGGUGCUAAAUGGGGAGUUAGCUUUGAAACUAUGCUGGCAGAACAAGAUGCAACUAUCCUAACGGCUGCAAUAAGACGACAGUAUUUUAGUGCCUUGACAAUUGAUCUACAUGUUGAUUUCUCACUGCUGUUCACUAGUAACCUUAACCUUUGGCCUGUAUGGGAUCCGGGAGAUGCUUUAACUACAGCUAUAAAGUUGAUGAUUUGUUUUAAGUUCCAAGAGAACCAUUUCAAGGUGCACCCUCAAUUCUUGGUUCUGCAGCUACACCCCAUAAAUCCUGCAGUGCAUCCUACUUGUCUACCACCACAGUUGUUGGCCACAAGAUUAGGAAUUCUUCACCCUAAAUCCAGGCUUCACCCUUAUCAGGUGCUCUCUGUCAAAAGGAUUGAGGCCGGUAUAUGCAAUCUCCUUGCUGCCCUUAGCUUUCUCCUUUGGUUCAAAAAUGAUGAAGUUGGAGCAUGACGAAAUUGUGGUAUUUUUGUUGUUUGGAGAACAUGGGUUCACACCCCACUCUCAAGUGUCCCUUGUUGAGUUCUCAGAUGGUGCUCAGGCUCGUGUUGUGCUUGAACCUAGAGAAACCAAAGGCUUUACUUUAAUUAGGAUCGUUACAAAUUAAGGAUGACUCAAGCAAGGAUAUUUACUCAACGAGAGAAGUUCAUACAAAGAACUAAUUUUUCAUUUAAGUUGGCGUUCUUACAUAGAAUACACACGUAUCUAAAGGCCUAGGAGGAACUUUUCCGAACCUCACCUAAAACUAUCUGGAGACAAGAGGCAUCGUUCUCUUUUGUCCGUUACAUAAUAUAAGGAUGAAUCUCCUCUACAUCACAAUCAACAAUAUUUUACGUCACGCUCAAACUAUUAUAGAUAAGAUUCUUUACUUUACAACACAUCGAAUAUUAUUCUAGUGGUAACAACUUAUUGUCUAACAACAUGAUGUUGGAUAAUUGGUGUUAGAACAUUAAAAUUGUAAAUUAUUAGCUAAUGGAAAAAUUACAUUAUUAGAAGGGUGGAAGGGUAAGAAAAAUAUAGAACGCGAGAGAGAGUAUUUUGAGUUGAGUGUUUAGACGAAGAUUUUGUUUCUAAGUAUACAUAUUAGUUAGAGCAUUUUUCAUGGCAAAAAGAGUUAAGUAAGGGCAGCUGCCCCCAUUAGGCAUAUAAUGCCUCCGUUUAUGUAGAAAUGUGUUAAAUGAAUAGACAAUCAUCAUAAAUUGUUCCUUAAUACUCACACCAUUUAUUUAUUCCAUCUAUUUAGAGGCAUAAACAAUUUACAAUUCGAAAUAACUUCUUAUAAAACUUCUUUUAAUAAAAAUUAAAUAAUUAAAUAAUUUUAAUUAUAAAAAUAUACAAUUAUACAUUAAGUGGUUUUAGGAUAAUUAAACAGCUAAUCUGUAAAAAGACAGGUGUCACAAGGAUAGUGUAGGAAGAGCGUGCCGCCGGGCACAGAUAAUCUUCUCUUCCUGUCUGUAUUUCAUCAUACAAGUCACUUCCGCUUUUUCCUUUUUCUAUUUUCCGUGUUCCCGGGAAAAGUCCAAGGAAAACGAAACCCUUCCUAAUUUUUGGUUUGGAAUUCGAAUGCAAUUGCGUUAAAUUUUGCGCCUUUGAUUUGGGUAUUUGCAGAAUUUUGAGAAGACUCAUUGGAUUAUACAAGUUAGAAGUAAUGGAGGAUGUUUCUGGGACCUGGAGCAGGCUGAGCAGCAAAGUCCACCACUUGGUAUGUUUACUCAUACUUUUGGCCCUAACUUACACUCAUUCAAUCUUUCAGCUACACUUGGUUUCUGUAAAAGCAAAUAUAUGUCAAAUCUUAGACUCUUAGUAGCUUUUUAGCUUCAAAUAUAUGCCAAAUUAACCUCAUAAGUGGGUUUUCGAGCGAUCGAGUUGGACUGAAUGAAUACAUGAUGAUGUUUUCUUACCCUUUUCUGCUUAGUUUCUUCAAGAACAAUUCAUCUUUAGGUCAAGCCGGAAACUUAUUGUUCAUCUUGUUUGUAGGUCAAGAUGGUGAAAGAAAAUGAAACAGUAACUGAAUAUGCUACCUUAGUUCAUGGAGAACCUUCUCAAGAUGCUAAUGACCCCCCAAAAGUUGAUUCCAAGGCGGAAAUCCUUCACGAGAAAGUCACAAAGCAAAUCAUUAAGGAAGGUCAUGGUCAAAUACCAUCCAAGUAUUCAACAUGCUUCUGUAAGUGUCCGGUGGUUUCCUUUUUGGUAGUGCUGUGCUUUGUACAUUAGUUGAAAAUCCAAUAAUUGUUAUGUGUGUAUGUAUUUGUUAGUACGGGAGUACGACAUGAAUGAGCUUGUGACUUGCAAACAGACACACACAACAUUCAUGUUCACAGAGUUGUGUAUGCGUAUAGGAGAAUUAUUUGUGCGUGCAUUAAAUUUUAUAAAAGGGAUGCCUAAGAUACAUGUAGAAAGGUCUUGCAGUGAAGUUUUACUCUGAUUUUUUCAAUCACUGAGUGAUUGGCAUAUGUGUGAUAGUGCACUACAGGGCAUGGACUGAAAGCACAAGACACGAGUUUGAGGACACAUGGGAUGAACAACGACAACUUGAAAUGAUUUUAGGAAAAGGUAUUAUAGCCCUUGCCGAGUUGUCUGGUACUUUUGAUAUAUACAAAAUAUAUGCAGAAUAAUUCUGGCAUGUUCCUUGUUCAGUCUGCAAUUAGUUCUGUGAGUUCUUUAUUGCUUUUAUUCUCUGUAGUUAACUUGUCAUUUGAUAUGAUUUGGGUCCAUAAGCAUUUAAUCAUUAUGUGGUGGUAUUAAAUGCAAUGAACUUCUUAUUAGUAGUAUAUUUUUGUUACCGCAACAGAGAAAAAAGAAAUGACUGGCUGGGCUAUUGGGGUGUCCAGCAUGAAGUCGGGAGGGCGUGCCCUAUUACAUGUAGGCUGGGAGUUAGGGUUUGGGAAAGAAGGGAGCUUUUCUUUUCCGAAUGUUCCACCAGUGGCAGAUAUAUCAUAUGAAGUUGAGCUUAUUGGAUUUGAUGAAACCAAAGAAGUAAGUUGGUCACUUGCUUUCAAAUGUCUUCCCAAGUAGAUGCCAAUAGUUUUAGCCGGGAACGAAGACACAGUAUCAAAUUUAGUGAUCUAAACUGUUAGCAGUGGAGGAGUUAAGAAUUUACGAUGAUGGGGUCAAAAAAUCGAUCAUACUUUCAUUACGAUUACCCACUACAUGUUCUCAUAUUUUGGAAACGUUGUAUCACAACAAAAUUAUAAAUCAAAUCAAACACAUCAUUCUCAAUGUAUACAAUCAAACUAUCAUUCAAUCAUUCAUCACAUGUCUAUUACGAUGUGGAUGAUUCACAAUAUUCAUCAUCGAAAAAGCUCUUUCAACAGAAGCAGUCGCUACGGUAAAAUUUUUGUUAAUUUUGUGGAUGCAAAUUUCUUCCUCUUUGAUCUUGGACAAAAUUGCACCUACAAAACAAUUAACACCUUAGGUCAAGGCUAAGAGCCUCACGCGCCCACGAUAAAUGGGGGGGCUUUGGCCGAUGAACAUCCGAUGCCAAAGUUAGAAUUUAGAGAGAAAAAGUGUUUGACAAUUCUAGAGAAUUUUAGCAAGAGUUGCAACUAGGUUUUGGUGAGAAAUGUGGGGCUUUUUAUAGAGGAGUGGCUGGCCUCUUAGGGUGAGAGAGGACCGGCCACAUAGUCUUGUUUGUGGGUUUUGUUCAUGAUUUAAGAUGAUUUUGGGAGUUAUAUGAUUAAUUGACUAAUUAAUUUGGCAAAAUAAAAUUAUUACCAAAUGAAUUAGCUAAUUAAUGGGAUGAAAUGGGCAAAUAUCAAGAGAUAAACAAAACAUGGCCAAUUCCUUUUCUAACAAUAGGUGGCCGGCCCUUCACUUGUUUUUGGGGUUGAAAGGAUCACUUAAUUGACAAUUUAAGGGAUUAAAUAGGCAAUUAACCUCUUAAUUGGCCAUUUAUCAUGAUUUUUAGAAGGAAGGCUUUAGAAGUUAUGGAAAGAAUAAAAUAAAUAGCUAAUUGAUUAGCUAAAAGAGGGAAAAAGAGGUAAGAAAUAUAUGGAAUGAAAUAGGUUUUAAGUUGAUACCUAUUUUGGGCACUUUUGACUUGGUUUAGGGAUGAUUACUCGCGCGUAGGAAUCCCAGUAUGUCUCAAGGGUAUUUUUGUUCUCUUUUACCCAAGAAUCCACGUGUCGUCUUGUGAUUAUUUUUUGCUCCACAAAUUUCAUUAGCAAGUACACUAAGGGAUACUGCCUAUCCCUCUUUAUCUCCACUAACUUUUGUGCAAAACUACUAAUUUCUUUCAACACAAAAAUUUCAUUAUGCAAACGUAUGUCAAAGAUAUAAUUUUUAAGUUCGUCAUCAAGAAGUGAGAGCUCCGUAUUUGGAUAAAAUUGGGUAAGGCGAACUAACUAAACCACAUAAUAUAAGUUGGGGUGUGCUAUUCACAAUCCUUAUUUUAUUUUUCACACACUAAUUUUUUUUCGUUGAUCUUUUGAUAGGACUCGCUCGGAUUAAUGACUUCGCUAGGAGUUCUUAGACAAGAACCCCAAAUUCGGCCGGACUCGUAAGACCUUCUGCGAGAGAGAACCUCGGUCAUCCUGCGAGAGAGAGUCGUCGCCAUCGCUCCCUGCUUGCCCUGCUCCCUCAUCCUCGUCCUCCUCACCCUCAUCUCUGCGUCCUGCUUGCCCUCAUCUGCAUCCUGCUUGCCCUCAUCUGCUCCUCUUGCCUCUUGCCUGGUAAACUUCGAAUCUUCGAUUUAUUUCUCCGAUUUGUUUUUCAGAUCGUGAUAUUACUGAGCUUUAUUUGAUUUAGUUGUUUGAGAAAUUUUCAAAGAUUUAUCGCUUUGUCAUUGAAAAUGCAAAUGCAAUGCUCAGUCAGUGCGAGUCUGAGUCCGAGCAGAAGAGGCAGAGGCACCGCUGUCGAUUCACUUCCAAUGGCAGCCGUCGGUGGUCCUAAGUGGGCACAGAAGACCAUAACUCUGCCUCCCCUCAAGAGGGGUUGUCAUCUCGUCACCCCUAAGGUACCUACUCUUUUGAAUUUUGAUUCUUGAGUUGAUCCAUCCGUCAAACCCUAACCCUUGAUUUGAAAUCAAUUGAGUUGGAUUCACGGUGAAACAUGUGUUUAGGUCUCUUAGAAAUUUAAUUUCUAUUUGAAAUUUCAGAUAGUGAAGGAAAUUGGGGAGGACUUGUCAGAAUUCAAGUGUGGCCUUGCCCACCUCUUCUGUAAGUUUGCCUGCCUAAUACUGUUUUCUUUCAAUACUUGUUUUUGCUUGUUUUGAAUGAACAUAUAACAUCUGUGUAUAUUUAUUUGUGGGUAAUAUUUCAGUGCAGCACACAAGUGCUUCUCUUACUAUCAAUGAGAAUUAUGACUCUGAUGUUCGUCACGAUGCAGAGACAUUCCUCAAUACCAUUGUUCCUGAGGUUACUUACUUUCGUUUUGUUUCCUUUCCUGUGUAUUAUGAUCACAUGAUUCACAUCUUAUGUACCAGUAGCACUAGCAAGCAUUAUAUGAUGUUCUCGUCUUCAUUUAUUUUCAGGGGACCUCUGCACCAUGGAAGCAUACCCUUGAAGGUUAGUAUUCGAUUCCAUUUCAUUGUUUCAUUCAUGGCCUUCGUCUCUUCUUUCGAAGAAUACUUUGCUUUUCUCUGUUUUAACCCAAUUUCUAUAACUUGGUUGGCUACGUCUUUGAGUUUGCAUUAUAUGCACUGUCAUUUGACUGCUAGCUACUGUGGUGCCUGGUAGCUCAGAAUUUAAGUUAUCUGAGUUUUACAGGCCCAGAUGACAUGCCAGCACAUAUUAAAUCAUCAAUGUUUGGCUGCACUCUGACGUAAGGAUACCUUACUAGCUUGUUUGAUACUGUUUACAUGUGCUGUGAGGAAUUUACGGCCUCGUUGGCAUUUACAUUUUCCUUGUUCUCAUGCAGGGUUCCAAUUACAAAUGGAAAACUCAACAUGGGAACUUGGCAGGUAUGUAAAAGUGAAAACCAUUAUUCAACUUUUCUAAGUUUUCUACUUGUAAAGGGCUUGAAUCUCUCAAUCUUGAAAUUAGGGUUUAUGCUUGGAAAGAUUUUCACCUAUGCUCUGCUUAAUAAAUUUCUUGGAUGAUGCCUAAUUAUUCUCUGUAGGAAUAGAACUUAAAGUAAAUUCUGGAGAAAAAAAUGCAUCAUGUUAAGGGAAGGUAAACCGCAUAGCAGUACUUAAGAAAUUACUAGCUGCAAAAGAAGUUUUUACGAGAACACUUACAUUCUGAACCUUCUUCCCUACUACUGUUGAAGUGUCAGUAAAGGCUAGAAGUAUUCUUUUAUGUAGGCAGAACAUGUAAGUUAAAAGACACAUGUUUUGAAUGCCGGUGCUCAAUGGCGUUAGUGCAUGAUGGAAUGUUUUACAGACCUUACUGUAAGCAUCUUGACUAGGCGUAAAUUUCUUGUAUUUGAGUAUGUAAGCUGAGCAUGGAGUAUGAACUCAUGAGAACAGAAUGAUAGAUAAGAUAUGCAUAGGCUUUUUUUUAAGAUUUCAUCAACCCUUUCAAUUUCUAAGGGGCAUGUGAGUGAGGCAAUGAAUGGCGCUAUGGAAUUACACUCUUCGGCUAACAAUUACUCUGUUUUUUCCUUUUUUAUAAACAUCACAUUCUGUUUCCAUUGCAUCAUUGUUUGGCUCUCUAAUAAAUCAAAAUUUCUGGUGUGUUAUAGCUUAUGGAAUAUUGUUUAUUUUUUUCCUUGUAUUGAUUCUGCUUCAGGGAAUAUGGUUGUGUGAGCAUCGUGACUAUUCUACAGCACGGAAAGUUGUGGUUACCCUGAAUGGAAUAUGAGAUUCUAAGAUUUGGAUAUUUUUCAUCCAAGUCUGUAGAUAAGUCGUACGUAGACAUCUGGUUUGUUCAUGGGAACCUCCUGGAGAGAUGUUAACGUCCUAGCUGUUUUCUGCAUCUUUCUGGCUGAAUGAACAUCUGGUACCUUGUUACUUGUAAAGGAUUUACUACUUUCUGGCUUAUACAUACAAUAGCAAUUUCAAGUAAUUAUUUUAAAAUUGAGUAAAAAAUUGAACUUGUCAGACAUCAAUUUUCGUUCUACUCAAAUGCAAGUAUAAACCAAUACCUUUAACUUUAAUCUACGACUUUAAACCCAAGGUGAAUAAUUAAGAAAAUCAUCCUGAACCCUGUCAAUUGUUGGGAGAACACUUUGUUAUAUUCAUGUUUGGAACAAUGCUACUCUUGAAUCAUGUAUGUUUCUUUCGUUGGUAAGAAAAUUUGGUUUUUGUAUUUUUAUUGAGUCUCACUCUCAUCCAAUAUUGUUAAUUUUAAUAAUAUCUUUAAUAAAAAAAACAAUUAAAAUAUAACAAUAAUGUAGUCCUAGUCUAAGCAAACAUCAAACUGGUGACAAUACUGUUUUCAUUAUCCUGCUUUUUAGUCCAAUACUGCACCAAAUGCUUCACUAAGCUAGUCCAACUAAGUUUAGUCUAAGUCAGUCCAUCUUAGUCCUUGCAACUAGUCUAGUCCGAGAUAGUCUGGUGCCACAUACGCACAAUGGAAAAUUAUGUUCAAUGCCCUUGGAAUUAACUAAUGAAAAAUUAUGGAUUUUCUAUAAUUUCAUCUGUUGCUAUUGAUAUAUAAAAUUCCAAUGCUCAAUAUUUCAUCAGCUGUUGUUAUGCAGUUAUAAGGGUCGGAAAAUUUUUCAAAAGGAUAAAUUUACAAACUUAUUGGGGUCAAGGGAUGCCAAUGCCUCCUUCACUUCACUUGGGUUUUCGCUUUGUUUACUGAGUUUUCAGUUGUGAAUUUUUUGUCACCACCAUAAUAUGUUAGUGUGUAAAACGAGUCAAUUUGUUUCUUUGAAGUACUUCUUGUUUCUUUUGUUUAUGUGGACAUUUUUCAGUAAAGGCAUGAAACUCAAGAAUCAGAAAGAUUCUAGUUCCUAUUCUAUAUAACUAAGCAUGUCAUAUUAUAUGAAAUCAUAAAAAUAUUGGAUUGAUGAGCCAUUUAAUAUUACAAUCUUGUUAUUUUCUUCUAGACUUGUAAGUGAUAGUUUUUAGGCUCAAUUAUCGCCAAAAACAAAUUUGAACUACAUUAUUGAUAAUCUAUUAUGAGGCUUAAUCUACUUCUCCACACUCUUAAUGUAAAUGAUAUCGUUUUUUCUAAUAAUAAUAAUAAUGGAUUGAGGUUUGAAAUUUCAUCAUUACAAAUGGACCCCAAUUUAUGACUUUCUUUAGUCUAUUAGCAUUAUAUUAAUAGACAUUUAUGCUGGGUGUGGAGACGUCCAGCGGUGGGUGUACAAAUGAUGACGGGUUAUAAUGAUAAAUCAAAUCAUUAGCCAAUUAAGGAAGACGCAUAGAGGCCACAGGGGUAUUUGCCCAAAUAUUCCUGUGGCCUCUUUGUGCCUUUGCUUUUUGAAUUAAACAUAAUUAAUGUUAACUUGAUAAUAAUUAAAAUAAUAAAUAAUAAAUCAAAUCAUCAGCCAAUUAAGGAAGACACAGAGAGGUCACAGGAGUAUUUGGGUUCAGAAGAUCUCAUCUCGGUUAUAAUAGCGCGUGGGCCCAGGGAGUGGUGGGAGAGAGAACAUGUGUUGGAAAUCAAAUGAAAGACACAACACAAGCUUUAGUAUAGCACUAGCUACUAGGGCACAAAAGUAGAGGAAAAGAGAAGGUCAGGAACCUAUAAUUUGUGAAGGACCUAGCUAGCAUUAAAAAUCAACUUUCAAUUAUUAAGGCCAGCUGUAACAUAUUGACCAUUAUUGGGUCUUUGUUUUUAUUUCCUCAUUCCAAAUUAACCCCAAUUUAUAACUUUUUUAGUCUAUUAGCAUUAUAUCAUCAACAUAAAUGGACAUUAUGAUAUCUCAUCGUCCACUUUACUUUUAGGUCCUAUUGGUAACUAGAACUGUAUUAACUAUGUCACUCGAAUAAGAUAAUUUGUACAUUAAAUAAUAUUGAUUAAAUUAAUCGGAUGUUUGAUGUAGAAUCUAAUUAAAAACCCAGUUAUGCAUUAUAUUUUAUGAAAGAUAAUGUCAAAAAUUGUAAAUAAAAUGAAAAGAAAGGAAGAAAAAAAAUCGAUAGAAUAAUCCAAAAAGGGGCACUUCCCUUUCUUUGUGGUUAAUCUUCUGCAAACAAUCCGUUGUCAUUGAUCUUCUGGAAAAGGGAUAUUCUCCGGAUCAUUGCCUCUUAAUCCAUUAAAUUCAUUAAUCUGGACUUUUGAAAUUUGAUACAACGGCUAAAAUUAUAAUUUUUAAUAGGGUCUCCUGUUUUUAGCCGUUAUAUCAAAUUUUAAAUGCCCGAAUUGAUUGAUUUAGUGGAUUAGGAGGAAGACAUCCGGAGAUGAUCCAUUUUCAAUAUUCUGCACACAACCCAGAAAAGUUAUGGGUGUGGAUUCGUGGCAAAUCGAGGCACCAUGAAGGUGCGGAAUAAAGCGCAAAUUGUGAGAUUCCGCUCCAGAUUCCAGCAAAAAGGCGACUUGCAGGUCGUCGGGUUUCAGAUCCUCUCAAGAAAAUCGAUUAAUUGAAUUUACAUCGUGGUGGAUGGUCGCAACCACAUAAAUUGAGCCAAGAAGCUUCAUAUUCCAACCCAAAUUAAUUUCACAGAAUUUAAAUUCUAGGGUUCAAAACCUUAAUUUUGAAAGGAAUUGUAACUUCACCAAAAAUUUAAAGUGGAACAUAAAGAAGAAGAAGAAAUCUUGACGAAGAUGACAGCUGAACGACGGCAAUGGGAAUUAGUCUUGUGCACGAUGCGAGAGAAAGGGACGCAACAUGAGAGAACGGGAGAACACAAUGUGAUUUUCCUACUAAUUAAGUACCGGUUUGGUACUUAUGUGCUUUUAUGAAAAGUGGAUAUACAAAAAAAGUUGAGCUCAAAAAGGUAUUUGGUAAACACUUAAAAAUAGCUUAUUUUCACAAUUUUGGAUGGAAAAAAAGCUGCAAACGUGAAGCAGCAUAAAUGUUGAAUUAUAUGUUGAAUGUUGAAUUAUGAUUUCUUGUUAAACGGUGGAUUAUAUGUUUAAGAUAAAGUUUAUAAAAAAUUAUUUUUAAAAUAAAGUAUAUUUAGUAAUUCACCUUUAUUUGUUAAGAAAAUUAAAUUAAUGACACAUCUAGUAUUAUACAAUUUUUUGUCAUUUCACACAGUCACAGCUGUUUUACAUAAAAGUUUACCAAACAUUAUAAUACCGUUUUUUUUCUUUUCCAAAAACACUUUUACAAAAAAGUUUACCAAACAUUCUACUGCUUUAUUUCACAGCUACUUAUUCUCACAGCACCGUAAAAACAGUUUUUUUUUUCAAAACACAGCAAUACCUAACCAUCCCUUAUAAUACAAAGGUUUUGGGUUGGAUAAUUUAGUAGGUGCACCAUAUAAGGAUGUGGGUCCAGUUUAAUUAAUUCGGGUACUAUUUAGUGUAAAAUUACACUAAACACUUGGGUUCAUACUAUUUAUCCUAUCUGGUUGGUUAUACGGUUUGUCAAACGAGACCUUAGUGUAUAAUGUUGCUUCACUGAUAAUCUUCUAACGGUUACAUAGUUUUAACAAUAUUCAAACUUACAUCAAAUCAAUCUUAACCUUUCAUCUUACAUCUUAUGAGAUGAAGACAUUUAACAAAAUAGUCGCACUUGGUGCGAUGGCAAGUGCCUUCGCCCAUGAGCGGUAGGUCUCGGGUUCGAGACUUGGGAGCAGCCUCUCCAUAAAUGGGGGUAAGGCUAGCCGACAUUCACCUCUCCCAGACCCUGCGUAAAGCGGGAGCCUUGUGCACUAGGUACGACCUUUUUUUAUUAUUAUUUGUUUUUUUCCUCAACCCUCAAUUUUUGAAACUAGAAAUUAAAGGAAAUCUAAUUUUCUCAGCUGAAAGAAGGUGUCAGAAACGUGCAGUGCUGGGUGUAUAAAUUCGCACUGAAGAUACAAAUAAAAUUAGACUGAUUGCUUCUAUUUGGAAGUGCUGGGUGUAGAAAGGUAGAGCGGUGGGUGUACAAAUGAUGACCGGUUAUAAUAGCGGGCCCAAGGGGUGUGGAAGAGAGAACAUGUAUUGGAAAUCAAAUGAAAAACGACACAACACAAGCAGAGCACUAGCUAUUUGUGAAGGACCCGGCUGGCAUUAAAAAUCAACUUUCAAUUAUUAAGGCCAGCUGUACAUAUUGACCAUUCUUAGGUCUUUGUUUUUAUUUUAUACAUUGAAUGAUGUGUGAGUGGUUGGAUGAGAGAUGGGCAUGUAAAGACUAGCAGGAGGAGCCAUCUUUCAUUACGCAAAAUCAAUUUCUUAGUUACAACUUUAUAUUUUAAUUUACUUCACUUGGGUUUUUGCUUGUUCUGAAUACAAGAAAUGGCAGAAGGAGUUCUCUUUAAUAUUGUAGAACGGAUCAUUGUAAGGCUUGGCAACCGUGCUUUCCAAGAGAUUGGGUCGAUUUGGGGUGUCCAAGAUGAGCUCAACAAGCUCAAGGAGACAGUUGUCGGAUUCCAAGCUGUUCUUCUAGACGCUGAGCAAAAGCAAGCCAACAACAGUGAAGUCAAACUAUGGCUCGAAAGCGUAGAAGAUGCAGUUUAUGAAGCCGAUGAUGUGCUGGAUGAGUUUAAUACUGAAGUUCAGCGGAGACUAGUGAUGCAUGGCAAUACUAAGCUGUCAAAGAAGGUAUGCCUCUUUUUUCUUUAGCUCAAAUGAAUUUGCUUUCUGACGAAAGAUGAAUCAUUAAAUAAAAUAUAUUAACAAGAUGAUUCGAGAGGUUGCACCUUGUAGAACAUUUUCGUAGUCACGUAAGCUUAUCGAUAUUAACCUAUUAGGAGCACAAUAGGUCUCUCAAUAACUUAUAUUUAACUGCAAUAAAUCUUCUACAUUAUUGUUUUGAAUGUUUCGUAUAACUUACCGUUACAAAACUCUAUUAACUUAUUAACACAGUUCUAUCGAAAAAAUGAUUGUGUCUACUCAAACUCUUACAGGUGCGUCUUUUCUUUUUCUAGCUCAAAUCAACUUGUUUUGGGUUAAAGAUGAGUCAUAAGAUAAAAGAUAUCAACAAGAGGCUUAGUGAGAUUGAAUCCCGUAGACCCAAGGACUUAAACAAUAAUCGUGAAGAUACAAGAUUAAUAUUGAGAGAGAGGGUUACUCACUCAUUUGUCCCUAAGGAAAAUAUUAUAGGGAGAGAUGAAGAUAAAAAGGCACUUAUCCAACUUUUGUUGGAUCCCAUCUCAACUGAGAAUGUUUCAACCGUUUCCAUAGUUGGAAUUGGAGGAUUGGGGAAAAGUGCCCUUGCCCAACUCAUAUUCAAUGAUGAGGUGAUUCAAAAGCAUUUUGAGUUGAAAAUAUGGAUAUGUGUCUCUAAUAUAUUUGAGUUGGAUAUAUUGGCAAAGAAAAUCCUAAAAGCUGACAAGCUUGAUAAAAAGGAGCGUGAUAAGGUGGACCAGCUUGAUAUGGAUCAGCUGCAAAAUGAUCUUAGAAAAAAAGUAAAUGGGAAGAAAUACCUACUUGUGUUGGAUGAUGUGUGGAAUGAGGAUCCACAUAAGUGGCUUAGCUUGAUGGACUUGUUAAGGGGUGGUGGAGAAGGUAGUAGAAUAUUAAUAACCACACGUACUGAAAUCGUUGCGAUGACAUCACACACAACUAAACAGUACGCCUUAAGGGGUUUGAAUGAAGAGCAAAGCUAGUCUUUAUUUAAGAAAAUGGCUUUUAAAGAUGGAGAAGAACCAGAGAAUUCAACAAUUAAGGCAGUUGGGAUGGAGGUUGUAAGAAAAUGUCAGGGAGUUCCACUCGCUCUAAGGACGAUAGGUGGGAUGUUGCGCACCAAACAUCAUGAAAUAGAAUGGCUUAAUUUCAAAGAAAGGAAACUUUCAAAAAUAAGUCAAAAAGAAGAUGAUAUUUUACCAACACUUAAACUAAGUUAUGAUGUGCUCCCAUCACAUUUGAAGCAUUGUUUUGCUUAUUGUAGCUUGUUCCCACCUGAUUAUGAUAUCUCUGUACCAAGAUUGAUUAGACUUUGGGUGGCCCAAGGGUUCGUUAAGUCAUCCGACGAAAUCGAGUGUUUGGAGGAUGUUGCGUUUGAAUAUUAUAGGGAAUUGUUGUGCAGAUCGUUUUUUCAAGAAGAAAAAACAAAUGAGUUUGGUAUAAUAGAAAGUUGUAAAAUGCACGAUCUCAUGAAUGAACUUGCAAUCUUAGUGUCGGGUGUCAGGAGCGUCGUAGUUGAUCUGAACCGAAAGAACUUUCAUGAAAAGCUUCGUCACGUAUCUUUCGUCACGUAUCUUUCAAUUUUGAUAUUGAUUUGUUGAAAUGGGAAGUGCCAACUUCCUUGGUAAAAGCAUGCAAGAUACGAACUUAUCUUUUUCUUUGCCAAGAGGUUUUGAAAGAUUACGAUGAGUCAUUAUGUGAUUCAUUUUGUACCACAAUUGUUUCAAAUUUUAAGUCAUUACGGAUGUUGAGUCUCAAUACAAUAUAUAUUAUAAGAUUGCCUAAUUGUUUUAAAAAAAUGAAACAUUUGAGAUAUCUUGAUCUUAGUGGGAAUCUCAUGAUGGAGAGACUUCCAGAUUGGAUAGUUGGACUUUCGAAUUUGGAAACACUAGAUCUCAGUCAGUGUCUUAGUCUUGUGGAAUUGCCUAGAGACAUUAAAAAAAUGAUCAACUUAAGGCAUCUCAUCUUGGAAGAUUGUAUUGGGUUGAGUGGAAUGCCACGUGGAAUUGGUGAAUUGAAAGGUGUUCGUACAUUGAAUAGAUUUGUUUUGAGUGAAAGCAAUUGUUUGGGGAGGGGCGGUAGUGCUGGUCUUGCUGAGCUGGCCACCCUUAACGAAUUAAGGGGAGACUUGGUUAUUUUUGAUAAUUUGAGGCACGAGAAAGAUGUGGUGUCAGAAUCAAAUGUUGGUACACCUCUCAAGGACAAACAGCAUCUCCAUUCGUUGGAAUUGUGGUGGAAAUUUGGAGAAGAUGUAAAGGCAGUUGAUGAGGUGGAUAUUAUAAAGUCAAUGGAAGUAUUGCAACCCCAUUCUAAUCUAAAGCAGUUGUCCGUGUGGUAUUAUGGUGGUGUGAGGUUUGCGAGUUGGUUUUCUUCUCUCAUUAAUAUUGUUAAUCUCGCAUUCUGGAAUUGUAAGAGAUGCCAACAUCUUCCACCCUUGGAUCAUUUGCCUUCCCUUAAGAAACUUCAACUUGGAUAUUUGGAGAAGUUGGAGUACAUAUCAGAGAAAGAGAGCAGUAAUAGUAUGAGUGAUGAGAUGAUGAGGAUCUCAUUCUUUCCCUCCCUGGAGACACUCUGCCUAGUAGGUUGCCCUGUUCUGAAGGGAUGGUGGAGGGCGCACACUCCUAAUCUAACUUCCAUCCCUCUUUGUCCAAAUGUGGAGAGAAUACAAGUCUGUAAGAGCAGCUGGAAGGUUGUUGAUUCCUUGUUUUUUAGAGGAGCAUCUGAUAUUACACAUGAUGUUGGUGUUGAUGUUUCUGCCUCUUCUUCUUCCCCUCCUCUCUCCAAAUUAACACAUCUGUCACUUGAGGAAAUUGAGGAUUUGGCUUCACUGCCAGAAUGGAUUCGUGGACUCCCCUGUUUAAAUACAUUGCAAAUUUCUGGUUGCCCCAAGUUAUGGGAAAGAUGCGGCAAAGAAACAGGUGAGGACUGGCCUAAGAUUGCUCACAUCCCACACAUUACUAUUUGGGAUUAAGGUGCGUUUUCUAACUUGUUUCAAUUCACACUAGCCUAAUUCAAUAUAAACUAUGAAAUAUUCAAAUGCCAAUCUCAUUUCUUAAUUUUAUUCUUCAUUCAUCAUCACCGUAAUUUUUAUUUUCUUUUCAAAUGACAAACCAUAUGAACCAGAGAUUUUGGAUUCAGUGAAUGGAGGAGCAUCAACCUUUUGGAUUCAAUAUGUGAUGACCAUGUUAACUACUUGGAGUGGUUGUAUAUGAUUUUGUUUUUGAUCCUCGGGGUUUAGGUACUAUGUCCCUCCCGUUGUAUGUUUUUUCUUCAAGUAAUAUAAUAUGGGCGUGAGAGCCUAGCCCCCCAGCUUCGACUGGGUUCCAGCCCUCUUUAUAUAUUUCUUUUUAAUAUACGUUGAUGCUUUGGAAGCGAAACAACUUUUGUCACGUUAUAACAUAUAAGUCAGCAUAAUUAUACACAACAAUGGUAAAAAGAAUUACAUCUAUUAAUUGUCAAUGCACUGGAGUAACCAAAUAUUCUAAGACCAAAGGAACUCCAAAAUCUACUCUAGAUACGGCUCGGGACACAAAUAUCUCCUUCAAAACCCGAAAUUAAUCACAAUAAACGCUACAUUCUCAGUAAAGCAAACAAACUGAUUAUGUUUUGUUUAGUCAAAAGGAAAUUCAUGAGAACCAUUACAAAAAUAUGUGUUGUUUUUUCCAAGUCCUCUCUCUAGAAACAACUCAGACAACUCUUAGUUUCUUUGUUUUCUUUUCCUCGAUUUCCUUAGCAAUCAAAUGGUCUCCAUAAGUAAAAACAAAUUCUUCUAACGUACCGAAUGUUUACUAAUAUUUUUCUUUUCUUUCCAUUUUUUCAGCUACCCAAUUGAACUGGUCUCUUAAGUUUUCUUAAUUUGCAAUCAAAAUCUAUUUGUUUCUUAAGUUUUCUUCAAAAAUUGUACUUAUAUGUAAUCAGAAUACUUUGAUUUCUUUAGUUUUCAUUUCCAUCUUCUAUCCCGCAUAUCUAAGUUCCUUAUUAACCCACACCAGUUCAUACUUAUAAUAUGUUAUACGUUUAUUUUUAAAAAGUUGAAGAUGCUCGUAUUGCCAACUAAAAAGGAAAAGUACGGACCUUGAUAUUCACACAGAGAUCUUCCAUGUAGUCUUUGGUAUCUACGAAAACAAACUUAUCAACAUAUCAGUCAAAGGAAAAUUAUUACAACCUCUGCAAAAUCAAAAGAUGAUACGGAUGUCAAGCGACCCCUUAAGUUAAAGGCCCUAGUGUUAAAGAAAACUGUUAGCAUCUAUUAUUGUAAAUACCUGCCAAGAAAAGAUGAAAAUAAAAUAUUAGGCAUAUGAGUGUAAGCUUACAGAACCUUAGUUUUUGUACACUUUCUUCUCCCUUCAAUGACAGUUUGUUUCUUAUCCGGAAAAAUAAAGUGAGCAGGUUAAUGAUACUCACAUGUGCAAAAUGCUAAUCCUAUGGUCUAAAGCUAACUGACUUUUUAAGUGUAAAAUCCCUAAUUUCACUGCAUUUGGAUUGAUCACAGUUCAUGACUUGUUAAACUUGAUCUCCUUGGGCAUUUUGGGAACUUGACAGCUUAUAUUUUCUUUAGUCACAGAUGUGCCCAUAAAAGCAAAUUACAGCGACCCAAUGUCUACUAAAAACUUGGAGAAGGAACUCAAUUAGUCAACGAACAAGUGCCUCACACUUUCAUAUUAAAGACCAAAGAGAGAAAACCAAGCCGAACUCUUUGAAAUUCGUUGGCACACAUGCGUCAUUGGCUUAAUUGAAUGUAUAAUGCAUACUUAGAUACAAUGAUUCGAACAAUUGUCAUAGAUUGACAUAAGCCUCCAAACUUCAAAAAUUGAUACCUUAAGAAAGCAGAACCUGUUUUCCUUCAUAUUUGUGCUCUUUUGAUUAGCCUAUCUCGCGAUCACUUGAUUCAUUCUAAUCACUAUGAAAACAGCUUAAGAACAGUUGAUAAUCUCUAAAACAAAGAGGGAAAACAUAGAAAUACUAUCUGUACUCAAAUGAGUUCAUUUUGUGUUCAAAUUCUAAGUAAUUAAUAAUAAGAAGGAUACCAAGAAUAUUAUUUACCCAAAUCUUGUAAUUAAUACUAAGAAAAAUACCAUGAAUUCCAUUUUGGGAAGCUGCUUUUAGCUUAGUAGCUCCAUUUGAGAAUGCAAAUAUGGCAUACCAGUCGAGGGUCCAACCCAAAGGAAGUG